GUGGCAUCAGAUUGGCAUCCCCUGCUCUGUAUAAGCAAGAAAGUCUGCUGUCUCUCACACUUCUAGCGCACAUCAACUCAUAACAAGAUAAAACCUGUAGGCGGGAGAAGCAGGUUUCUAUGCCGUCUCCACUCUCGAAAUGCAGCCUCACAGCAUCUAAUGAAAAGUGAAGUGUGCCUGCCAUUACUGCUAUCCAAGUGGAGAUUACCUGUCAGCAUUGAAAUCUUGGUGAAUAUCCAGAAGUGUUUAAGUAUUUAUAAGACACUGGAACACUUGUAAACACAUCUUCUAUCUCCACAAAAGCUGCCAACCUUACUCAAGGACACACUCUCCACAGAAGCUCAGCUAGAAAGACCUGGGACCAUCCUUUUGUCACACAGGUCAAGACUGUCAAGAAGUUAAGUCCACACACCAUCAAUAGAAUUACACGGCCUCGAAAAAGCUUUACAUAGUACCAGCAGUUAUCAACUGCAUGUUAUUGUUCAGCAAUUACUGAAGUGAUCCAAAAGCGCA